rnacentral:piRNA from 1 species
UUACCACUUAGCUUUGGUGUUCUAAGAAGA